ACAGUAAAUCAGGCGGAGAUGCUGGAAAUUCCUUGGCAGAUGAACAGGUCAAAGGCUCAGAAAGAUCGUGGAGGAUGACAAUGAACCUUGAUUACCUGGACAUUUUGGACACUGGUCCACUAUACUGAUGACACCAUGCCAGUUGGACCCUGUAGCAGAAAGUGACUAGAGCUGUGAAUGCUUAGUGCAUAUCUUUUAUGUCGAAACAAGAAAAGUGGACUUCAAAUUUUGCUACAACUGUGCUAAGCGCAAUAUGUGUCAACAUUACCAGAUUAAGCACUAAUCACAAUAUUCCAAACUCAUAGGAAAGUGACAGUUAAAAAAAUUAGGACAGCUAGAAUUUCUUCACAAGAAUUAAAAACGUAAAUGAAGCUGCAACCAAAGCAAGUCUCCAAGUGGCUUAUUA